CCCCAGUCCAGCCUCAUGACCUGCUGAGCCUCCUCAGAGCGCUUCAUUGUCAGUGAGACCUCUACGUUCUGUGGAACUCAGACCCAUCCAUGUCAUACUGACCUUUUUGCUGCAUGAGUCAUAAAUUAUGAAGUCAGUCUUAUGGUUUCUGAGAUGUAACCAGCGUUUUGUAAGGCUAAACCUUUUUCACGAACUUGAUUUAAGUGGAUAACCAAACCACAGGCCCUCCUCCAAAUGAGAGAUGACAAGACAAUUGACUCUCUGCCCUUUGCAGUGGCGAUGGCAUCAGGUCCUAAAAUAAGCUCAUAAUUUUCCUUAUUUUAAUAAUAUGGAAAUAUUAGCAUAGUGUUUCUUUUGAUAGCGAUAGACCGAUCCGUAUUUAAAUUUUAUAGAGAAGAAAUUUUAUUGUACUGUGAUGUAGAUAUUUAUUACCCAGGUAAGGAUUUGCCCGGUGUGUAUUUUUUACAAUUGAGACAUUUUACUUUAAUCUUUAAAAGAGAAAAAAAGACUAUUAAAAACAUAUACGUAUUAAAAAAAAAAAAGGCUAGGGAGAAAAAAAGGUUUGGCCUUAUCACAGGAUUUUUACUGUGUCGUAUAAAUGUUUGCAAAUGAAAAAAGAAAUCGCACAUUUUUGGUGUGUUUUCCACAUUAAUUAGUGCCGCCUCCAGGAGCGAUAUUGUGCAGUAAACACUGUUUGUGGCUUUCUGUCGCACAGCUCGAACUGGCCCCACCUUAUGCACAAGACAAUCAGACGUGAGUCUUUCCUCUGAGGACACAGACCAUACGCAACAGAGCACAAUGUGACGCCAAGAACGAGACUUGUAGGCGUGCGGCUGACAGAGGUGGUCAGGGCGUGUGCGCACUCGAGUGGCCUUGGGCCACUGCCUCCCUUUGGCUGUCCUUUGUGGCGUUGGCACCUUUCGCUUGACAUCAAAUAGCCAAAGUAGUUCUCUGUGUUUUCUUCAGAGAAGACCGUUCUUUUUCCAGUAAUGUUUUCAUGCCCUGUGAAUCAGAAAAAAAAAAAAAAAACAACAACAACAACAAAAAAAAGGUACGGGUGGAGUAGAGAGGUUCAUAGUAAGUGGAAGGUUUGUGUUUUGCAAACAGUGUUAAGUGAUAUUGCUGUUGCUAGAUUGGUAAUAUUUUUUCAGCCUAAAAUUGUUGAAAUCUGUGAUCAAAUGUUUUAAACUAUCCAAAAGGAAAAUUUGUAUAUUUGGGAAAAUGGAUUUUUACAUAGCUUUUUGUAUGCAAAUAUUAAAUUGUAAUUAUGAAUAUAGUGGGCGUAGGUACUCAUAAGCUUAAAUUCUAAAAAAAGAAAAGGCUUACAAUGG
rnacentral:lncRNA from 1 species